UACGAAGGGAGCUAGCGUUGUUCGGAAUCACUGGGCGUAAAGCGCACGUAGGCGGACGUGUCAGUCAGGGGUGAAAUCCCGGAGCUCAACUUCGGAACUGCCUUUGAUACAGCACGUCUUGAGUCCGAUAGAGGUGGGUGGAAUUCCUAGUGUAGAGGUGAAAUUCGUAGAUAUUAGGAAGAACACCGGUGGCGAAGGCGGCCCACUGGAUCGGUACUGACGCUGAGGUGCGAAAGCGUGGGGAGCAAACAGG
rnacentral:rRNA from 1 species